GAGAGAGUGCGCGGAAGUGAAAGAAGAAAGAAAAGUGGAGUCUGAAGGAGACAUGCAGUUGUGAGGUAUUCUACAGAAUAAAUUGGCAGUGACUGUGCAGCUGUAGAUGAAAACAUCACGCGGUGUUGACAAGUUCUGGAAGCUGGGAAGUUCAAAUUCGAGGGGCCAGGUCUGGUGAGGUUCUUCUUGCUGUGUCAUCCCAUGGCGGAAGAGUGGAAGGGCAGGUGAGCAUAAGCAUGCAAGCAAGACAGGAAGGGGCAGCCCCUCCUUGUGAUAACAAACGCAUCUCCACCGCAAUAGCCUCAAUCUUUCAGGGGGCUAGAUGCCUCAUGACAUGAUCACCUCUUAACGGACUUACCUCUCAACACUGCUGUGUUAGAGAUUAGGUUUGCAACAAGGAACUUUGGGGGACACAUUCAAACCAUAGCAGUAUGUAGUUUUAUUUUAUUUUUACCUAAAUAGGAUAAGGCAUAAAUUAAAAUAAAUGAAUUAAUGAAAGAACUGAUCA
rnacentral:lncRNA from 13 species